UACGGAGGGGGCAAGCGUUGUCCGGAUUUAUUGGGUUUAAAGGGUGCGUAGGCGGUUAAUUAAGUCUGUGGUGAAAUCCUGGAGCUCAACUUCAGAACUGCCAUUGAUACUGGUUGACUUGAGUACAGACGAGGUUGGCGGAAUUGAUGGUGUAGCGGUGAAAUGCAUAGAUACCAUCAAGAACACCGAUUGCGAAGGCAGCUAACUAGGCUGUAACUGACGCUGAGGCACGAAAGUGUGGGGAGCAAACAGG
rnacentral:rRNA from 1 species